UACGAAGGGGGCUAGCGUUGCUCGGAAUUACUGGGCGUAAAGCGCACGUAGGCGGCCUUGUAAGUCAGGGGUGAAAUCCCGGGGCUCAACCUCGGAACUGCCUUUGAUACUGCAAGUCUCGAGUCCGGAAGAGGUGAGUGGAAUUCCUAGUGUAGAGGUGAAAUUCGUAGAUAUUCGCAAGAACACCAGUGGCGAAGGCGGCUCACUGGCCCGAUACUGACGCUGAGGUGCGAAAGCGUGGGGAGCAAACAGG
rnacentral:rRNA from 1 species